rnacentral:rRNA from 1 species
UACGGAGGGUGCAAGCGUUGUCCGGAUUCAUUGGGUUUAAAGGGUGCGCAGGCGGGACAUUAAGUCAGGGGUGAAAGACGGUUGCUCAACAAUCGCAGUGCCUUUGAUACUGGUGUUCUUGGGUGACGGUGAGGUAGGCGGAAUGGGUGGUGUAGCGGUGAAAUGCAUAGAUACCACCCAGAACUCCGAUUGCGAAGGCAGCCUACUGGUCGUUAACCGACGCUCAGGCACGAAAGCGUGGGGAUCAAACAGG